rnacentral:sRNA from 1 species
AUUCUGCCCAUGCGGGGAAGGAUGAGAAGCUUCGACCAAGGUUCGACUCGAGCGCCAGCGAGAGAGCGUGGCCGCAGGCAACGACCCGAAGGGCGAAGCGCGCAGCGCUGAGUAAUCCUUCCCC